rnacentral:rRNA from 1 species
GAGAGGUGCUGCAUGGCUGUCGUCAGCUCGUGUUGUGAAAUGUUGGGUUAAGUCUCGCAACGAGCGCAACCCCUAUCGUCUGUUGCCAGCAUUAAGUUGGGCACUCUAGAGAGACUGCCUGGGUUAACCAGGAGGAAGGUGGGGAUGACGUCAAGUCCUCAUGGCCCUUAUGUCUAGGGCUACACACGUAAUACAAUGGCGCGUACAAAGGGAAGCGAACUCGCAAGGGGGAGCAAAUCUCAAAAAGCGCGUCUCAGUCCGGAUUGGAGUCUGCAACUCGACUCCAUGAAGUUGGAAUCGCUAGUA